GGACGAACGCUGGCGGCGUGCCUAACACAUGCAAGUCGAGCGGAGGUAUUCAAGGAGCAAUCUGCGGAUACUUUAGCGGCGGACGGGUGAGUAACGCGUGAGCAACCUGCCUUUCACAGGGGGAUAAGGCGGCGAAAGCCGCUCUAAUACCGCAUGAGACCCCGGUGGUGAUACCACAGCGGUCAAAGGAGCAAUCCGGUGAGAGAUGGGCUCGCGUCCGAUUAGGUAGUUGGUGAGGUAAAGGCUCACCAAGCCAAUGAUCGGUAGCCGGCCUGAGAGGGUGAACGGCCACAUUGGAACUGAGAGACGGUCCAAACUCCUACGGGAGGCAGCAGUGGGGAAUAUUGGGCAAUGGGGGAAACCCUGACCCAGCAACGCCGCGUGAGGGAAGAAGGUUUUCGGAUUGUAAACCUCUGUUCUUGGGGAAGAGCAGAAGACGGUACCCAAGGAGGAAGCCCCGGCUAACUACGUGCCAGCAGCCGCGGUAAUACGUAGGGGGCGAGCGUUGUCCGGAAUGAUUGGGCGUAAAGGGCGCGUAGGCGGCUGUGUAAGUCAGUAGUGGAAGUCCAGCUUUUAAGGUUGGAAGUGCUAUUGAAACUGUGCAGCUUGAGUGCAGGAGAGGUUAUCGGAAUUCCUGGUGUAGCGGUGGAAUGCGCAGAUAUCAGGAGGAACACCAGUGGCGAAGGCGGCUUCCUGGCACAAUACUGACGCUCAUGUGCGAAAGCUAGGGCAGCGAACGGGAUUAGAUACCCCGGUAGUCCUAGCCGUAAACGAUGGAUACUAGGUGUGGGUGUCGCAGGGCAUCCGUGCCGCAGUUAAUCGCGUUAAGUAUCCCGCCUGGGGACCUACGGUCGCAAGACUG
rnacentral:rRNA from 1 species